rnacentral:rRNA from 1 species
GUGGGGAAUAUUGCACAAUGGGCGCAAGCCUGAUGCAGCGACGCCGCGUGCGGGAUGGAGGCCUUCGGGUUGUAAACCGCUUUUGUUCAAGGGCAAGGCACGGCUUCGGGCCGUGUUGAGUGGAUUGUUCGAAUAAGCACCGGCUAACUACGUGCCAGCAGCCGCGGUAAUACGUAGGGUGCGAGCGUUAUCCGGAUUUAUUGGGCGUAAAGGGCUCGUAGGCGGUUCGUCGCGUCCGGUGUGAAAGUCCAUCGCCUAACGGUGGAUCUGCGCCGGGUACGGGCGGGCUGGAGUGCGGUAGGGGAGACUGGAAUUCCCGGUGUAACGGUGGAAUGUGUAGAUAUCGGGAAGAACACCAAUGGCGAAGGCAGGUCUCUGGGCCGUCACUGACGCUGAGGAGCGAAAGCGUGGGGAGCGAACAGG